ensembl:lncRNA
GGGAGGCAACAGGGCCAAGGUUAGCAGGAGAGGCAAGGACAGAAGUGAGAGAUAACAUAGUAUUAUGAAAAUAGGGAGCCACAAGACAAGACCUGCAGUCAGCUUGUAGAAGCUGAAAAAAGUCAAGAAAGGGAAUGGUCCCAGAAUGUCCUGAGGGAAACAGCUUUGCUGAUACAUUGACCUCAUCACAGUGAGCCUGGAGUUGGAUGCCAGAUCUACAGGACUGAGGAAUAAAAGGCAAGCGGGUCCUGGCCCUUGCACUGCAGUUGAGGGAAUCUGAGGGCAGCAUGCAGGCACCAGCACCGAGGGAAGCUUUGGGCCUAGGCCGCAGUUUUAGGUUCUGAAGAAUAAACAGAAUCUGGAUGCAGUGGUGCACACCUGUAAUCUCAGCAUUCGGGAGGCUGAAGCAGAGAAUCACCAUCAGUUCCUGGUCUAGCCUGGGAUAUAUAGUGAGUUCAAGGCCAGCUUGAACUACAUAGAGAGACCCUGUUCAAAAAAAAAAUAAACAGAGAUGAAGUGCACAUUGUUUUUUUUAUAAAACAGACCACAUCCAAAUCAAAACAACUGAAAAUGCUUCUUAAACUUGGUAUAAAUCAGUUAGCACAGAUGUGUCUGCUGGGAAUGGCAUUUAGAUGAAAGGGAUGCUAUAUAUACCCAAGAUGAGUUAGAAUGUAGAGGACACGAGGAAAAGGCAGUUAAUCAUUUUUUUAAAUGUAAUGAAAGAUAAUGCUGGAAAGAAAGGACAGGGAUUAAUUUUGUUGGGUCUUGAAUUUCAGCCCAAGGAACUGGGAUUAAAUUUAUUUUAUGCUUUUCCUCCAGUGAUUUGUUACUUUUCACUAGGUUGGACCUCAAUAAAAUCACAUAGCAGAGUGCUUUUAUACAUUUUCCAACUUAAUAUGGAAAUACUUGGUAUUAUUAUUCCCAGUUAAGUAUAUAAUAGUUAUUACUACAUCUGUGAAGGUCAUAAAAGGGCUUUAGUACCAUGGAAUUAAUAAAAAAAAUUCCUAUGGCAUAUAAGGUGUAAAAUUUAAUGAACAAAUACUUUUUCUACCUUUAAAUAUUCUUAAUUUUCUACAUUAAAUAGUCCUAAAGUUAUAAAUCAAGGCUGUGCCACUAUGAACAUUAACUUUGGCACUGUAUAGAAAACCUUUUUCCAUUUAUUGUAAACAAAUAAUUCACAUUUAUGAUAUAAUACUAAAAAUGUAUAGAUAAAAAUGCAAAUUUAUGUAACAUAAAUAUUCAGUAACUUUUUUUAUCUUAACAAAGGCUAUCACUUCAUUUUCCCAAAGCACUUGAAUAUUUCUUUAAUAAAGUUUCUCUUGAAAAUAAAUGCCACAUUAAUGCUAGUGAGAAAAAUUUGGCUUCAGGUUGCAAUUAUCACUUUAGUCAAGGAUGAGGCAGUUAUAUUUGAGGCUUAUGAUGGCUAUUCCUGAACUCUUAUUAGUGGUACAAUUGUCUUUAGGGUUCUCAGAGUUUUAAAUCCUGGCACUUGUGUUUUCUUCUUGCCCCCUUCUUUCCUCCACUCUUUGUUCAUCAUGUACUCAGAACUUACAGUUCUGCAGGUCCUCACUCUUCUUUCACAGCAGUAUCUUUUCUCUCUUCCUUUUGCUUUCCUCUUUUCUAUGCCUUUACCUUCUAAAACUCAACUUUUUGUAGUUUGUACAACUAAGCAGUGUCCUUCCUCCUGAUCCUGUGUCUGUUUAUAUUCCACAAAUCCCUUCUUUGUCUUAUUGGUUUUUUUCUUUGUCUUAUUGUUAAUACAGUAAUUCUUCUGUGCUAUAAAUAUUACCUUAUAGAUAUCCUUCUCAAAAACAUAGUUUUAUUGUCCAUGUUGAGGGUUUUUUCUUUUGGUACCAGGGAUCGAACUCAGGACCUUGCACUUAUGAGGCAGGUGGUGGCACCACUGAUCUGAAUCCCCAGCCCCAUAUUGAGUUUUUUAACUUACUGUGAGUUGGGUAUGAGCUAAUAUGACCACAAAAUAUUAGGAAAUUUUGAAAUAGAAUUUAAAAGCUUGAGGCAACCAAGAAUUUGGAGUUGGUUUACAGAUUGGAGGACCAUUUAGAAUUACAAUGAAACAAGGACGAAAUCAAGAAAAAAGAUGCUAAUAGAAUAAAAAAAUUUUGAGAUAACAAAAUUAGGCAAGAGGGUAAAAGUGACUGAGAAAGGAAAAAAACUCUCAGGAAGAGAAGCAGAAAGGUUAAGGUAGGAAUAAAGCUUUAAAAAAUUUUUUUCUUUUAAAGUGAAGUCCGUGUUGUCAUCUGCCAGGCAUUGAAAAAAAGGACUGACAAAAGCCUGUGACAUUCAAUAUUUCUUCUUAAUGAUGGAAAAUGAAAAGACUACUUCAGAAAUUGUUAAUGUAGCAUGGAACAAAUUAUGUUCUGGUUAUCCAAAAUGGUAAAAUAUUCUGCAAGUAUUCUUUAUAUAAUAUAGAACCUCCCUCAAAGAUAUAUGUGAUGCAGGUUGAGGACCUCAAUUUCCAAUAUCUCAGCAGUUAACUUCUUUUCCCUUACAUCUCAUGUCUGCUGGAGAUGACCAGUUACAUUGAGAACUUACAGUUUGACUAUAUGUGGACUAGGAACAGUGAAUAUGCAUAAUUUCUAUCUUGUGGAAGGAAAGAUACAGAAUUUGUUUAAUAAGGCAACAGUUUUUGCCCUUGUAAUCAGAAUGUUCUCUCAUUUUUUAGGUCACCUUUUGUCAGUUAUUGCCCUUUGAUCAUUGCCAUUAAAGUUUGUGAUGGACCAAGGGUGCAUGAGUUUAAAUUUUGUUGCAGUCAGUCCUGACAGAAAAAUAAUGCCAUCUGGAAUACAUACCAGUUUUUAACGUCAAGGAAAUCGCUUGUCGAUAUUGCCUGUUUUUAAAUUUCAGUGAACUUUCUGGAUCCGAGGAGAUUGCCAUGUUCUGUCACUAGCAGGGGAGAUAACAGGUCAUCUACUUGGGGCUGGAGCCAAAACCAAGGACAGGAUGUGCUUCCUUUCAAACUGUUAAACAUCAGAAGCGAAGUGGUUUAUAAAACUUACAAGCACCAGGGAUUUAGCUCGGUGACUUUGCGCCUGCCUCACAAGUGCAAGGUCCUGAGUUGUGAACUGUUUCUUUUUAAAUAUUUAGCCCUAAGAACUCAGGGACAGGGAUUGUCUCUAAUUUCAAGUGUCCUCUGUUGUUAAAAUGACUUAAGUGGUUUUGUGGUACUACAAAUUGUUCUAACUUUUAAAGGCAGUUUUAUUUUUAUAAAUAAAACAGGGAUGUAUGAUUUAGUCAUCAGAUAGUGCCAAGAGGCUGAUAAAACAGCACGAGAAUCACAGCAAUUUCUUCCAAAGCUCUCUGGGCUUAAGUCUUGUUCAAUAAAGACCAGUGUUCAAACUUUGAGUAUAUCUAGAAAGUAUGUUAAUGAUUUUAAUAUGCUUAUCUUGAUUCAUCAAAUUUGAAUAUUACAUGUUAACUUCC